UGUGCCAGCCGCCGCGGUAAUACGUAGGGUGCGAGCGUUAUCCGGAAUUAUUGGGCGUAAAGAGCUCGUAGGCGGUUUGUCGCGUCUGUCGUGAAAGUCCGGGGCUUAACCCCGGAUCUGCGGUGGGUACGGGCAGACUAGAGUGCAGUAGGGGAGACUGGAAUUCCUGGUGUAGCGGUGGAAUGCGCAGAUAUCAGGAGGAACACCGAUGGCGAAGGCAGGUCUCUGGGCUGUAACUGACGCUGAGGAGCGAAAGCAUGG
rnacentral:rRNA from 1 species